rnacentral:misc_RNA from 1 species
GAAAUGCGAUACGUCAUGCGAAACGCAAUACCAGUGAGUCAUCAAAACUUUGAACGCAACUUGCACUUCCCUUUGGGGAGUAUGUCUGUUGGAGUGCUUGUUCAUCCCCACCAUAACCCCCAUUCCCUAAAAAGUCUGGGGAGUUUGUGAAGUCAGUCGUUUGUUGCCGCUUGUCGGCGAUAAAUGAACUCAGAUGAAAAAACAUCAAAUAUCCGAUCCCCAAGUCAGUAUUACUCCGGUGAUAUCCGACUGAAAGGACGCGACGUCAGGAUGCUUUACCGCAACCAAUAACUCGUGUCUGAGUAAUGUCCUAAUGACCGCAAGGCUCUUCGUGAUACUUUUUCGAUCGAGCCUCCAAUCAGUCAAGAAUACCCGCUGAAUUUAA